AUAAUAUAGAACUAUGGCCAAGCAUUCAGAUUCAGCUAGGAAGUAAUUAAUAUUCACUAAUUUAUCUUUACAGUGACUAUUGCCUUCCAUGAAGUAUUCAUGGGGGACAGGAACAAUGAGACGCUUUCCCAUCACGACCCUUCAAUUUAGCUGGAAAGAACUUUCCAGUUCUUGGAGAGAUGGUGAAAGUUUUGCUGGUGAAUCUGCUCUUUUCUUAAGAUUGGUUUCUGAGGCUAACUUGACGGACUCAAGCACCUGAAGUUGCUCUGUUCAGUGCUCUGUCUUGGUUUGUUCUUCAUUGAGAAAUACAGCAAGUCUCAGACCCACAUUCAACUCAGAAAACUGUGUUGUGUCCCAUGACAAGUCUGCCUUUGAUCUUGGACUGAAAAAAAAUGUUAACCCUCUCCUUCCAGUCAAAAAGCCAGUAAAUCCCAGGGAGGAGAAGCAGCCCCACUUCACCCGGUUGGGCCCCUGGAGGAGCUCCUGAGGAGACAGCUCUGGUGACUCUGAUCUGACACGGGACAGCAACAGGCACCGGGUCAGGGAAGAAAGCUCAAAAACCAGUCAGUUCUCAGGAGUUAAGUGACUUUUCUAAAAUAGUCAUAUUGUUAUUUAGAUAAGGCUCUUUGAUAAUAGUUCACUGGUGGAAGAGAGACUCUGGGGUCAAGAGGCUCCUGAUAAUUCUCAAAUGUGAAAUUCUUCAACUUCAAGCACAGAUUCUUAAUCCAGAGGAAAUGAAUUUUCAAGUAAGUAGACACAUUUCAGUAUUUCGUAGGCUACUGUGCCUAUUUUCCCAAUGUUUACCGUCAAUAUUUACCACUAGUUAGGUUUCUGGACGAUAGAGAAACAGUUCAUGGCAACUUU
rnacentral:lncRNA from 1 species